UUAGCAAGGGCCGGGCAAGACCGGUGCCAGCCGCCGCGGUAACACCGGCGGCCCGAGUGGUGGCCACUAUUAUUGGGUCUAAAGGGUCCGUAGCCGGUUUGGUCAGUCUUCCGGGAAAUCUGACGGCUCAACCGUUAGGCUUUCGGGGGAUACUACCAGGCUUGGGACCGGGAGAGGUAAGAGGUACUACGGGGGUAGGAGUGAAAUCUUGUAAUCCCUGUGGGACCACCAGUGGCGAAGGCGUCUUACCAGAACGGGUCCGACGGUGAGGGACGAAAGCUGGGGGCACGAACCGGAUUAGAUACCCGGGUAGUCCCAGCUGUAAACUAUGCUCGCUAGGUGUCAGGGACGGCCGA
rnacentral:rRNA from 1 species